rnacentral:tRNA from 1 species
GUAUAGUAGAGAGGUAAGUGCUUCGGGCUUGAAGUUCGAAGGUCCCGGGUUCGAAUCCCAGU